UGCAGAGGAACAAGGCUGAAC
rnacentral:miRNA from 1 species